rnacentral:rRNA from 1 species
GAUGAACGCUAGCGAUAGGCCUAACACAUGCAAGUCGAGGGGCAUCACAUGAAGUAGCAAUACGGAUGGUGGCGACCGGCGCACGGGUGAGUAACACGUAUGCAACCUGCCUUCAACAAGGGGAUAACCCGUUGAAAGACGGACUAAUACCCUAUAACACAGGGGUCCCGCAUGGGAAUAUUUGUUAAAGGACAACCGGUUGAAGAUGGGCAUGCGUUCCAUUAGCUAGUUGGCGGGGUAACGGCCCACCAAGGCAACGAUGGAUAGGGGAACUGAGAGGUUUAUCCCCCACACUGGUACUGAGACACGGACCAGACUCCUACGGGAGGCAGCAGUGAGGAAUAUUGGUCAAUGGACGCAAGUCUGAACCAGCCACGUCGCGUGAAGGAAGACGGCCCUACGGGUUGUAAACUUCUUUUAUACGGGAAUAAAGUGCCCCACGCGUGGGGUUUUGCAUGUACCGUAUGAAUAAGGAUCGGCUAACUCCGUGCCAGCAGCCGCGGUAAU